rnacentral:rRNA from 1 species
UACGAAGGGGGCUAGCGUUGUUCGGAGUUACUGGGCGUAAAGAGUGCGUAGGCGGUUUCCUAAGUUUGGUGUGAAAUCUCCCGGCUUAACUGGGAGGGUGCGGCGGAAACUGGAGUGCUCGAGGGUGGGAGAGGAAAGCGGAAUUCCUGGUGUAGCGGUGAAAUGCGUAGAUAUCAGGAGGAACACCUGCGGUGUAGACAGCUUUCUGGACCACUUCUGACGCUGAGACACGAAAGCGUGGGUAGCAAACAGG